GCUUAGCCCUAAACAUAGACAGCAAGAAUACAACACUGUCCGCCAGAGAACUACAAGUGAAAAACUAGAAACUCCAAGGACUUGGCGGUGCUCCAUACCGACCUAGAGGAGCCUGUCCUAUAAUCGAUACCCCACGCUUCACCUCACCAUUUUUUGUACCUCAGCCUAUAUACCGCCGUCGUCAGCCUACCUUGUGAAAGAAGCAAAAUAGGCAAAACAGUUAUCAACUAACACGUCAGGUCAAGGUGUAGCAUAUAAAAUGGAAGAGAUGGGCUACAUUUUCUGCCACAGAACAUACGAACAGAACAGUGAAACCCGUACUAGAAGGCGGAUUUAGAAGUAAGAUAAACAAGAAACUUUAUCUAAACCACGCUCUGGAGCGCGC
rnacentral:rRNA from 1 species